rnacentral:ncRNA from 1 species
UACCUGGUUGAUCCUGCCAGUAGUCAUAUGCUUGUCUCAAAGAUUAAGCCAUGCAAGUCUAAGUACGAGCUCUCGUACAGUGAAACUGCGAAUGGCUCAUUAAAUCAGUUAUGGUUCAUUUGAUCGUACAGUUUACUUGGAUAACUGUGGUAAUUCUAGAGCUAAUACAUGCGAGAAGCGCCGACCUCGCGGGAGGCGUGCAUUUAUCAGACCAAAAACCGGCCGCGUCUUCGGGCGCGUUCGCCUUGGUGACUCUGGAUAACUUUGCGGAUCGCACGGUCUAGCACCGGCGACGGAUCAUUCAAGUGUCUGCCCUAUCAACUUUCGUCGGUACGGUAUUUGCCUACCGAGGUUCUUACGGGUGACUGGGAAUCAGGGUUCGAUUCCGGAGAGGGAGCCUGAGAAACGGCUACCACAUCCAAGGAAGGCAGCAGGCGCGCAAAUUACCCAUUCCCGACGCGGGGAGGUAGUGACAAAAAAUAACAAUGCAGGACUCGUUCGAGGCCCUGUAAUUGGAAUGAGUACACUUUAAAAGCUUUAACGAGUAUCCAUUGGAGGGCAAGUCUGGUGCCAGCAGCCGCGGUAAUUCCAGCUCCAAAAGUAUAUAUUUAAGUUGUUGCGGUUAAAAAGCUCGUAG